CUACAAGUUCCAUCAUGCCCAGACAGCCAAACCUGACACUGCUAUUGGAUUUUGUAGCUCUCAGGACAUAGCCACGUGAUCAACUUACAGCUUCAAAGCUGUUGUGAAACUACAGCUCCCAGCAUGCCCUGACAACCAACAACUAUCAGGAGGAACCCAGAAUGUGUACAGGGGCCCCAGUCGCAUCUCAGGCACAAACUGUGAACAGGCUAGCAGCAGAAAAUACAAGUUGAAGAAGUAUUUGAACUGGUUAAAAAGGAUCUAAAACAGAGAUAAAGAGAAGAGUCAAGGUUCUGGUGCUGCCGGUAGGAGGGAGCAGCCUGGUGCGGUGCCUGUCAGAAUGUUGAUACAGUGAGCUGGCAGUCACAGCCCAGGACAACUGGAACAACAACGUCAUUCAAGUGACAGCACCUUGAGAAGACAUUGAGUAUGUUCCAGGAUUCACUAGACUCAGGAAG